GGUUGAAACACCAGUUCUCUUACGAUCACCGAAGUUAAACAACGUCGAGCAAGGUCAGUACUUAGAUGAGAGUCUGCUUAGGAAUACCAGGUGUUGUAAG